rnacentral:tRNA from 1 species
CUUUUGGUAGCUCAGCUGGUAGAGCAGAGGACUGUAGAGCGUUGGGCAAGACAUCCUUAGGUGGCUGAUUCGAGUCCGGCUCGAAGGA